ACGCUGGCGGCGUGCCUAAUACAUGCAAGUCGAACGCACAGCGAAAGGUGCUUGCACCUUUCAAGUGAGUGGCGAACGGGUGAGUAACACGUGGACGACCUGCCUCAAGGCUGGGGAUAACAUUUGGAAACAGAUGCUAAUACCGAAUAAAACUUAGUGUCGCAUGACACAAAGUUAAAAGGCGCUUCGGCGUCACCUAGAGAUGGAUCCGCGGUGCAUUAGUUAGUUGGUGGGGUAAAGGCCUACCAAGACAAUGAUGCAUAGCCGAGUUGAGAGACUGAUCGGCCACAUUGGGACUGAGACACGGCCCAAACUCCUACGGGAGGCUGCAGUAGGGAAUCUUCCACAAUGGGCGAAAGCCUGAUGGAGCAACGCCGCGUGUGUGAUGAAGGCUUUCGGGUCGUAAAGCACUGUUGUAUGGGAAGAACAGCUAGAAUAGGAAAUGAUUUUAGUUUGACGGUACCAUACCAGAAAGGGACGGCUAAAUACGUGCCAGCAGCCGCGGUAAUACGUAUGUCCCGAGCGUUAUCCGGAUUUAUUGGGCGUAAAGCGAGCGCAGACGGUUUAUUAAGUCUGAUGUGAAAGCCCGGAGCUCAACUCCGGAAUGGCAUUGGAAACUGGUUAACUUGAGUGCAGUAGAGGUAAGUGGAACUCCAUGUGUAGCGGUGGAAUGCGUAGAUAUAUGGAAGAACACCAGUGGCGAAGGCGGCUUACUGGACUGCAACUGACGUUGAGGCUCGAAAGUGUGGGUAGCAAAC
rnacentral:rRNA from 1 species